UUGAAUUGCCCCAUUAAAGAUUAUCUUUCUUUUUCUUUCCUUUGCAGUGUUAACCGUAAACUCUCUCUCUGCCCUAUUGUUUCUCCAUCUCUCAAGUGUUGAAGAGAGCAGCAAUCAGACAUGGUCUUCAAGACGGAUUACCUUCAAUUAUCUGUCGAGGACGAAGAAUCAGUUUGCUCAUGAAUAUAGAAACACUAGCUUCCAUGAUCAGUAGACGAUAUUGAUAUCCGAGUCGACGAAUCGGAUUACAAGGGUUGGGUUGAAGAGAAAUAGGAAAGAUCGGUGGGGUGGGAAAAAGAAGAGGAGAGAUUCAGCUGUUGCUGAAAUUUUCAUCGAUUUUGGGAGAAAGUUUUGAGGAGAAGCACAGGUAUGUGUUUGACUUGUUGGUAGCGGAGGCACCGUCUCUGGGGUUGGACAGUAUCUCAAAUCUCAAAACCCUGAUUGUAAGGUAAAAAUCUCUUAAAGUUACAUUAUCCAUAUAUUCAUUUAUUCGCCAUCACUGCUUAACCCAAUUACCCAAUCGAUCACUUUCUAAUUUCCAUUAACUAUGUGUGGGGAUACGGACUAGGGUCAUCCCAUUUGCAGACAAGAGUUUUCAGGUUUGCACCGCUGUUCAAGUCCUCUAAGUAAAUUUUGUUGAUUCUCCUCCUUUAGUUUAUGGGUUUGGUGAUUUGGAUUGGAUUCUACACUAAAGUUUCAGUCUCGAAUUCAAUUGGGUACUUUAGCUUUUGUUCUUUGAUUUCUGCUAAUUUAUGCAAUUGGGUUAUAUAGCACAACAAGUUUGGCAAUGCUUAUGCUUUAAAGAAAGUCUGGAAAGGGGUGGAGCUAAUAAGAGAGAGCUUGCCCACAUUUAGCUUGGGUGUUAGUUUGUUUAGUAUGUUGGGGAUGUUAUAGUUAGGGAAUUAGUAUGUAAUAGUUUGGGAUAAAAUGAGCAAUGAGAUUACUGUUUUCAUGCUCCUUUUUAACUCUUGACAUGAUUUCAGGUGAUAGAGGCUCAUAAUGUUAUGGGCUCAAGUAGGGUUGAUGAAGAUGCUGAACCCAUUUUACAAUAUGGACACAGGUAGAAGCCUGUUGCUUUCAAUUUCUAUAAUUUAAGGUCUUCAGCUGAUCCAAAUUGGUAGAACUGUGUUGUUAGAAGUUGAGUCUCACUUUCAGCAGUAUCAAGUUGCAGAAAUUGAAGAAAGCAAUGGUCCAGCUCUUGCUAUAGUUCCACAUUGUAGGCUCAAAUGCUUGGGAUUGAGGAAAUGUUGACAGACUAGAAGUUGGAGCAUUCGUCUCUAUAAGAGCAAUUGGUCGCAUUAAUUUGCAUCAAAUUUGUGCAGGGGAAGAAUCACCACUGGGUUUGCCUUUGAUGGGUCGAUCGUUUAUCACAAGCAUUUCCAGGAAAAGAGGUUUAUCAUGAGCUAAAUUUGAUGGUUUAAUGGGUUUGAGCUGUUAAACAGGCAGUACAAUCUUUGCAAAUUGUCCAUUGAGGAGUAGAGGAGAACGCAGACAUCAUGCCUAUAAUUAAGGUCUUUGCAGAAUUUUCUUUUCUCAUUUAGUGGUUUGAUUAGAAUUACUGUUAUUGUAUAUUAAUUUUAAUUUUUUUUUAAUUUGAAAUAUUGUCUGUCACUAUUUUUCAGAUUGGUGGGUGUAUUGUAUAUAUACAAUAAAUAUAUCAGAUUGCUUUUUA